CGUCUGGAAAGGCGCGCGAUACAGGGUGACAGCCCCGUACACAAAAGCGCAUGUGCUGUGAGCUCGAUGAGUAGGGCGGGACACGUGGUAUCCUGUCUGAAUAUGGGGGGACCAUCCUCCAAGGCUAAAUACUCCUGACUGACCGAUAGUGAACCAGUACCGUGAGGGAAAGGCGAAAAGAACCCCGGCGAGGGGAGUGAAAAAGAACCUGAAACCGUGUACGUACAAGCAGUGGGAGCCCCACCACCAAAGCAUUCUCUGGUGUUGAAGGCCCUGCAAAGCAGCAUCGCGGUGGCGGAGCGUCGUUUGCGACGCCCAACACACAAAACAAGCGGUGAGUGCUUUGGGGUGGGGUGACUGCGUACCUUUUGUAUAAUGGGUCAGCGACUUAUAUUCUGUAGCAAGGUUAACCGAAUAGGGGAGCCGGAGGGAAACCGAGUCUUAAUUGGGCGUUAAGUUGCAGGGUAUAGACCCGAAACCCGGUGAUCUAGCCAUGGGCAGGUUGAAGGUUGGGUAACACUAACUGGAGGACCGAACCGACUAAUGUUGAAAAAUUAGCGGAUGACCUGUGGCUGGGGGUGAAAGGCCAAUCAAACCGGGAGAUAGCUGGUUCUCCCCGAAAGCUAUUUAGGUAGCGCCUCGUGAAUUCAUCUCCGGGGGUAGAGCACUGUUUCGGCUAGGGGGCCAUCCCGGCUUACCAACCCGAUGCAAACUGCGAAUACCGGAGAAUGUUAUCACGGGAGACACACGGCGGGUGCUAACGUCCGUCGUGAAGAGGGAAACAACCCAGACCGCCAGCUAAGGUCCCAAAGUCAUGGUUAAGUGGGAAACGAUGUGGGAAGGCCCAGACAGCCAGGAUGUUGGCUUAGAAGCAGCCAUCAUUUAAAGAAAGCGUAAUAGCUCACUGGUCGAGUCGGCCUGCGCGGAAGAUGUAACGGGGCUAAACCAU
rnacentral:rRNA from 1 species